GUCCAUGCCGUAAACGAUGUCUACUAGCCGUUGGGCCUUUGAGGCUUUAGUGGCGCAGCUAACGCGAUAAGUAGACCGCCUGGGGAGUACGGUCGCAAGACUAAACUCAAAUGAAUUGACGGGGGCCCGCACAAGCGGUGGAGCAUGUGGUUUAAUUCGAUGCAACGCGAAGAACCUUACCUGGUCUUGACAUACAGAGAACUUUUCCAGAGAUGGAUUGGUGCCUUCGGGAACUCUGAUACAGGUGCUGCAUGGCUGUCGU
rnacentral:rRNA from 1 species